GGUCGCGUAGCUCAGCUGGAUAGAGCACCUGCCUUCUAAGCAGGCGGUCCCAGGUUCGAAUCCUGGCGCGAUCACAA
rnacentral:tRNA from 2 species